GCAUGCAGUCGACGGUGAACCCCUUCGGGGGUGGAAUAGUGGCGAACGGCUGAGUAACGCGUAAGUAACCUACCCCCGAGUGGGGAAUAACUCCGGGAAACCGGAGCUAAUACCGCAUAAUCCGUUGUGUCGCAUGGCAUAACGGCAAAGGUUUUGGCCGCUUGGGGAUGGGCUUGCGUUCUAUCAGGUAGUUGGUGAGGUAAGAGCUCACCAAGCCAAUGACGGAUAGCUGGUCUGAGAGGACGACCAGCCAGAGGGGGACUGCGACACGGCCCCCACUCCUACGGGAGGCAGCAGCAGGGAAUCUUGCGCAAUGGGCGAAAGCCUGACGCAGCGACGCCGCGUGCGGGAAGAAGGCCUUCGGGUUGUAAACCGCUUUUCUGAGGGAAGAGAAAGGACGGUACCUCAGGAAUAAGCCUCGGCUAACUACGUGCCAGCAGCCGCGGUGAUACGUAGGAGGCAAGCGUUGUCCGGAUUUACUGGGCGUAAAGGGCGUGUAGGCGGUACAGAAAGUCUUUGCUUAAAGAUCCCGGCUCAACUGGGAGAGUGGCAGAGAUACUUCUGAACUAGAGGGCAGUAGAGGAGAGCGGAAUUCCCGGUGUAGUGGUGGAAUGCGUAGAUAUCGGGAGGAACACCAGUGGCGAAAGCGGCUCUCUGGGCUGUACCUGACGCUGAGGCGCGAAAGCGUGGGUAGCAAACCGGAUUAGAUACCCGGGUAGUCCACGCCAUAAACGAUGGAUGCUGGGUAUAGAGGGUAUCGACCCCUUCUGUGCGAAGCUAACGCGUUAAGCAUCCCGCCUGCAACUACGCGCAGCUAAACUCAAGAUGACGGGGGCCGCACAAGC
rnacentral:rRNA from 1 species